rnacentral:rRNA from 1 species
UACGAAGGGGGCUAGCGUUGCUCGGAAUUACUGGGCGUAAAGCGCACGUAGGCGGAUUGUUAAGUCGGGGGUGAAAUCCUGGAGCUCAACUCCAGAACUGCCUUCGAUACUGGCGAUCUAGAGUCCGGGAGAGGUGAGUGGAACUGCGAGUGUAGAGGUGAAAUUCGUAGAUAUUCGCAAGAACACCAGUGGCGAAGGCAGCUCGCUGGGACGGUACUGACGCUGAGACGCGAAAGCGUGGGGAGCAAACAGG